GCAGUAGCAGUUCAGAGGCAGAAUUCUCACCUUCCACGUGGGAGAACCAGGUUCGAUUCCCAGCCAAUGCA
rnacentral:tRNA from 1 species